rnacentral:rRNA from 1 species
CGGCAGUGGCGGGUGCUUACCAUGCAGUCGAACGGACCCUUUGGGGUUAGUGGCGAACGGGUGAGUAACACGUGGGUGAUCUGCCCUGCACUUUGGGAUAAGCCUGGGAAACUGGGUCUAAUACCGGAUAGGACUACGCACUGCAUGGUGUGUGGUGGAAAGCUUUUGCGGUGUGGGAUGGGCCCGCGGCCUAUCAGCUUGUUGGUGGGGUGAUGGCCUACCAAGGCGACGACGGGUAGCCGGCCUGAGAGGGUGACCGGCCACACUGGGACUGAGAUACGGCCCAGACUCCUACGGGAGGCAGCAGUGGGGAAUAUUGCACAAUGGGCGCAAGCCUGAUGCAGCGACGCCGCGUGAGGGAUGACGGCCUUCGGGUUGUAAACCUCUUUCGCCAGGGACGAAGCGCAAGUGACGGUACCUGGAGAAGAAGGACCGGCCAACUACGUGCCAGCAGCCGCGGUAAUACGUAGGGUCCGAGCGUUGUCCGGAAUUACUGGGCGUAAAGAGCUCGUAGGUGGUUUGUCGCGUUGUUCGUGAAAACUCACAGCUUAACUGUGGGCGUGCGGGCGAUACGGGCAGACUGGAGUACUGCAGGGGAGACUGGAAUUCCUGGUGUAGCGGUGGAAUGCGCAGAUAUCAGGAGGAACACCGGUGGCGAAGGCGGGUCUCUGGGCAGUAACUGACGCUGAGGAGCGAAAGCGUGGGGAGCGAACAGGAUUAGAUACCCUGGUAGUCCACGCCGUAAACGGUGGGUACUAGGUGUGGGUUUCCUUCCUUGGGAUCCGUGCCGUAGCUAACGCAUUAAGUACCCCGCCUGGGGAGUACGGCCGCAAGGCUAAAACUCAAAGGAAUUGACGGGGGCCCGCACAAGCGGCGGAGCAUGUGGAUUAAUUCGAUGCAACGCGAAGAACCUUACCUGGGUUUGACAUGCACAGGACGCCGGCAGAGAUGUCGGUUCCCUUGUGGCCUGUGUGCAGGUGGUGCAUGGCUGUCGUCAGCUCGUGUCGUGAGAUGUUGGGUUAAGUCCCGCAACGAGCGCAACCCUUGUCUCAUGUUGCCAGCACGUUAUGGUGGGGACUCGUGAGAGACUGCCGGGGUCAACUCGGAGGAAGGUGGGGAUGACGUCAAGUCAUCAUGCCCCUUAUGUCCAGGGCUUCACACAUGCUACAAUGGCCGGUACAAAGGGCUGCGAUGCCGUGAGGUGGAGCGAAUCCUUUCAAAGCCGGUCUCAGUUCGGAUCGGGGUCUGCAACUCGACCCCGUGAAGUCGGAGUCGCUAGUAAUCGCAGAUCAGCAACGCUGCGGUGAAUACGUUCCCGGGCCUUGUACACACCGCCCGUCACGUCAUGAAAGUCGGUAACACCCGAAGCCGGUGGCCUAACCCUUGUGGAGGGAGCCGUCGAAGUGAUCGCAAUU